rnacentral:rRNA from 1 species
GACGUAGGGCGCGAGCGUUGUCCGGAUUUAUUGGGCGUAAAGAGCUCGUAGGCGGCUUGUCGCGUCGACUGUGAAAACCCGUGGCUCAACCAUGUGGUCUGCAGUCGAUACGGGCAGGCUAGAAUUCGGUAGGGGAGACUGGAAUUCCUGGUGUAGCGGUGAAAUGCGCAGAUAUCAGGAGGAACACCGGUGGCGAAGGCAGAUCUCUGGGCCGUAACUGACGCUGAGGAGCGAAAGCAUGGGGAGCGAACAGG